UCCCCACGGACCGGCUGGACCGGCCGAUGGGGUGACGUCAGCUGGCCGAGCCAGAACCCGGCCCUGAUGCGAAACCGACUCGGCCAUCUGACAGGCCGUCAGCCAGCGCCAGCAGCCAGUGAGCUGUGAGCAGCCGAGCCGCGUCGGUGCCUGCACGUCAGGUUGUUUACCAACCAAGUUAACCUCAACUUCGCCAUGUGUUCUCUGACGGCGGCGCCCGCAAGGGCCGUCGUCGGUCACGGAGACACCGGGCUGUUAGGCUAAAACGCUGCCUAGCCAAACAUGGCCAUGGCCCAAGGCGCCGUCGCCGCCACACAAUCCCGUCCGCCGUCGUCGCCGUCGCGUCGUCGCCGUCCUCAACGCGGCCGUCGCCAAGCCUCAUCAUCACCACCACCACCAUCUAUGAAAACUUGGAGAGUGUGACGCCCUCGCCAAUCCUCUGCCGCGUCAACCCUGAGUGCAGGGGAGGCUUAAGUGACGUCCACCUCCGGGCGAGCGCCGGCGAGAGCCUGGUCCGUGCCAGGCGUCACCGCAAGGAACCGGCGGCGGCCCGGGCCCCAACCCCUCCCCGCCGCCAAGCAGACCACCUGCAGCACCCACGGCCAGACCGCCACUCCCAGAAGCGCCCACUUCUAGGACUACACGGUUACUCAACAACCCCUUCUGACCA